rnacentral:lncRNA from 1 species
AUUCAAAAGCCCAAACGGAAACGGAAAACUCGGGAAAUCAAAAGCACACUAACCAAGGAAAUCAUAGACGAUGAUUCGUCGAAUGAGGAUGGUGAAACAAAUGCCAGCACAGUUGCUAGUAACUCCACUAUCUCAACAACGGUUGCUCCGACUGUUGCUGCAUCGAGUGCCGCUCCAGCGAAAGAAGAAAAAGAUGAGAAGAAGGCAAAGCCGAAAAAAGACACCGUCAAGAAAGAGUCAAAGAAGAAAGUGAAACCUGUCGGACCAAUGCACUUCACCACCCACGAAACCAGAGCCAUAGAUGUCCUCGGAGAUCUUGAACCAUCCAUCUUCAAUGAAUGUAAAGAAAAAAUGAGACCUGUUAAAAAAGCUUUGAAAGCUCUGGACAAUCCUGACCAAUCAUUGAAGCCAGAGGAGCAAGUAGUGCACACGCGUCAAUGUUUGAUCCUGAUCGGCGACCAAAUCAACACAUGUGUCUCUGUGUACAAGGACCCAGAUGUCAUCAAGCAGUGGCGGAGCAAUCUCUGGUAUUUCGUUUCCAAGUUCACCGAGUACGACGCUAAGAAACUGUAUAAACUCUACAAACACGCAGUGAAAAAACAGAAAAGCAAAGAGUCGGACGACAAGCCCAGCGACAAGAAGGAAUCAGUCAAGCGCAAGCUCACCGAAGACAAGAAGUCUGCGGAAGCACCGGCAAAGAAGCCGAAAAACUGAGCCCGUCGAAGGCAAAGCAAGCGAGAAGGCUGUGAAGAAGGACAAAGGAAGGAUGCGGCUGGACAGCGGAGGUUCGAUCGGCCCGUCGACCCCGCUUAAGGAAGCUGAGAAGGAGCGCGAGGGUGAGAGGGACCGAGGACGCGACAGAGAACGUGAUUGGGAGCGUCUAGGAGAUAGAGAAAGGGACCGAGAACGCGACAGAGACCGACUCGCGGCGAUGCCGUACAAGUCGGGGAUCAGCAGUCCGCUGGAGAGUGCGGUUGAUCGCGACCGGUGGCCGCCCGGUGGAUCUAGGUACAAUACAGGUAAUAGUAAUCCCGAGCAUAAGCGAGAUAGGUACGACAAUUAUCCUCGCGCUGCUUACCAUGAUAGGAAUAGAGAUAGAAAUCAUCGAAUGCCUCCAGAUAAACACAGAUAUCAUCAGGGACCUCAAGGGGCUCACAUGGGACAGUAUGGGAACCACUAUGGUGCUCCUGUCCCUCAUGGAUAUUACCCGCCAACUGACCAACAUGGACCUUACCCGCGCGAAAGGUACCAUGGGCCAGCCCCGUACGGUGACUGGCGCACACCGCCCAAAGACAGGUCCGACUUUAGGAGAGACUACGAACGAAGGCCUGCCUCUAAUACGUAACACCUCUCUUUGUAAAUUGCUUUAAUUUUUGUAUAUUUUUCAAACUGAAUCAUUGUAAGAGCAACACUGGUUUAUUUUUAGACAAGUUCUUGAUCCGUCAAAUAUUUAUUUUUGUAUGAUUGUCUUCAUUAUGCCUGCGUAAUGACUCCAGUUUUUAUUUUUUGUAAAAUUGCGCCGCUGGAAGUGCUGCAAAAAAAUGAAAGAUAGAAAAA